UAGAAUACACAUACCUACUACAAUUCAA
rnacentral:sRNA from 1 species